CCUUUGCCUGGACCGUCAGCUCAGUGGUGGACGACGGAACGGGCGAGAGCUGCGGAGAGGAAGGGAAGGUGCUGCGGACGAUGAGGAGGAGGAGGAAGAGGAAGAGGAAGCUGAGGAGGAUGAUCUUGGCGUUGAUGGCGAAAUGGGUCUUGCUCGUGUUGCCGUUGCUGGAACCCAUUUUCCGAUGUGCGAAGACGACCCGAUUCUGUCUCGAGAAUUCGCUUGAUGGUGCGUUUGACAGAGGAGAGACCAGAGGACU
rnacentral:lncRNA from 1 species